rnacentral:tRNA from 1 species
GCGGAUGUGGCGAAAUUGGUAGACGCACUAGACUUAGGAUCUAGCGCCGCGAGGCAUGGGGGUUCGAGUCCCUCCAUCCGCACCA